rnacentral:rRNA from 1 species
CCUACGGGAGGCAGCAGUAGGGAAUUUUCGUCAAUGGGCGCAAGCCUGAACGAGCGAUGCCGCGUGAGUGAAGAAGGCCUUCGGGUCGUAAAGCUCUGUUGCGGGGGAAAAAAGGCAGCAUCAGGAAAUGGGUGCUGACUGAUGGUGCCCCGCCAGAAAGUCACGGCUAACUACGUGCUAGCAGCCGCGGUAAUACGAAGGUGGCGAGCGUUAUCCGGAAUGAUUGGGCGAAAAGGGCGCGCAGGCGGUCCUGCAAGUCUGGAGGGAAACGCGUGGGCUCAACCCAUGCAUGGAUUUGGAAGCUGGAGGACUGGAGUGCAGGAGAGGGCGGUGGAACUCCUUGUGUAGCGGUAAAAUGCGUAGAUAUAAGGAAGAACACCAGUGGCGAAGGCGGCCGCCUGGACUGUUGCUGACGCUGAGGCACGAAAGCGUGGGGAGCAAAUAGGAUUAGAUACCCCUGUAGUC